UCACUUACUUACGGCUGUUAGCAGCCAACACCCCUCACUUUUAAUUUUUAAUUAUCUCACACACACUAAACACACACACAACUCACGCAUAUCUCCAUUGUUGAGGAGUUGGAGCUUUUGAGCUCCGUUUUGAGCGAGAAGACGAGCCCCGAUCAUCUUUUCGAACACGUAUCUAAGUAGGUCCUUUUGGGAAGUAACGACUUGAGGGAGAGAGUGACGUUACUCAUUGAUACAGAGACACAACGAGGUUGAGCUGAUGUGAUGAUGGUGCUGCAAUGAGCGGAGUCUCCAGGGUUGUUAAUAAAUAGUUAACCUGUCUAGAAUAUGUCUUCAUACAUAUGUCUAGCUACUUUCCGCUGCAAGAUGUUGUUGAUGUUAUAGUAUGUUAUGUCAUACUUUGAGUCUUAAGAGAAUGGUUUCAUACGAUGUAUAACUUGAUUAAUGAUAUUAAUUAAGUUUUAUGCUGUCUUUCA